UCAUGGAUACAUUAAGUUGUUAAUUGAGACAAAAACAGCCCAAUUGUUACUUUUGUUACAUAAAGAUUUGCGUCUUCAUGCAUUUGAGAAAUGUAAAUUUAUGAUAAAACAAUGGUAACCUUUGCCAUAUGUUUUUCUAGCAAAAUUAAAAGUUUGGCUAUCUUUGUCACUGAUUGUUAAAAGUUAAAUCGUAAACUCCAUAAGAAAAUGACUUCAUGAUUUACGUUCAUCAUCGUGAUAAACAAUUUAAACGUUGAGAUGGAAAACUCCAAACCAUGUGUUACUGUACGAACAGGAAAGCUAACAAAGCUAGAGAAUGUUUUGCAAUUUAGGAAGAAAGAAAACAAACGAUAAUGAUGCACAUGAAAAGAUAUUUAAAGACACGUUUUUAACAUGAAAUAGAAAAUCGAUGUCAGAGAUUGUUAACGUUUAAACAGUUUUACUUUCUAGGAUCCCAAUGAAUUUUACGAAAUUUCCUUAAAAAGAAUAAGUGACGAAUUAGAUUCAUUUCAAAUCAGUAAAGAAAAAUUUCAGUCACUUUUAAAUACAUUAGCUGUUGCUAAAGAACCUCUUCCUUGGGAAUUAGUUAAGGAUAUAAAUAAAAAUAAGUCAAGUAGUCUGGUUACUAGUUCGAGUAGAUUUGGUUCUGCUGGUGUAAUGGUUUGUGCUGGUAAAGAUAUUUUCAUGGUUUCUGCAGUCUUUAGUGGUGAAGGUCUCUGCGAUCCUUGUUCUUUUGUCGUUUCUGGAAAGUGGUUUUGGGGGCCAUGGAUUGCUGCUUAUUGUGAUUCUUUAAAUCUGUAAACUUUGGUGUGAUGUGGAUCGCGUUGCAGAACUUUGAUGAUGAUGAUCCCAAUUUUAAUCCAUUUUGUGGGAGGUGGCCCUGUUUGGUUUUUAUAUCUAAUACUCUGUGCUUUUUCCUGUGUUUUUGGAGCUUUAUGGAAGGACAAUUACAAGUGGAAAAUCAAUUGGAUCUCCACGUUUUCCAGCAUGUUGUCUAGUUAUAGCCAACCGAAACUAAGUAGGACAGCUGGUGCAGUUUCUGGAAGUUGUAUGAAGGAGCGUAGUGCAGAAUGCAAGUUUAAAAUACUUCGAGAUGAUCUCAUCUGUGACAUUAUCAUAUGUGGACUUAAUGAUAACCGUCUUCGUGAACGUCUUCUUCGAGAUCCAGAAUAAACAAUACAGAAAACUAUACAAAUGGACAUGCUGCUGAGAAAACAACGGGACAAACGAAGGAACUUAAAAAGGAAAUUAAAAGGCAAAGAAUAUAUUGACAGUAUACA